rnacentral:rRNA from 1 species
CGGUCUGUAUCCGCCGUGGGCGUUGGAGAUUUGAGGGGAGCUGCUCCUAGUACGAGAGGACCGGAGUGGACUGACCGCUGGUGUACCUGUUGUCCCGCCAGGGGCAUCGCAGGGUAGCUACGUCGGGCAGGGAUAACCGCUGAAAGCAUCUAAGUGGGAAGCCCCCCCCGAGAUGAGAUCUCCCGUGCCGUAAGGCACCUGAAGGCCCGCAGGAGACGACUGCGUGGAUAGGCGGCAGGUGUAAGCGUGGCAACACGUUCAGCCGAGCCGUACUAAUCGGCCGUGCGGCUUGAUCCU